rnacentral:rRNA from 1 species
UAGACAUGCAAGUCGCACGGAACCGCAAGGGGUUUAGUGGCGCAAGGGUAGUAAUGUAUCGCUAACGUACCCCGGACUCUGGGAUAGCUGCCCGAAAGGGCAGGUAAUACCAGAUGAUAUAUCCUGGCCGCAUGGUUGGGAUCUCAAAGGUCCGCCGGUCUGGGCGCGGGCGAUAUCGUAUCAGCUAGUUGGUGAGGUAACGGCUCACCAAGGCGACGACGCGUAGCCGGACUGAGAGGUCGGUCGGCCACAUCGGGACUGAGGACACUGCCCGGACUCCUACGGGGGGCUGCAGUAACGAAUCUUCCCCAAUGGGCGCAAGCCUGAGGGAGCGGAGCCCGCGGUUGAAGGGAUUGAAGUUCCUUUCGGGGAAUUGUAAACUUCCUUGUCAGGGGUUUACCAAGA